rnacentral:lncRNA from 1 species
GGUCCCCCUUGUUGCCACCUUGCUGGAAAGAGAAAUUGACAUUUUCGAUUGUGACUACGUUAAGGGCGCAGGAUUUCCUCCUUCCUUUGACUCUUGAUGUCCCCUUGGAUGGGUAGCUGACAGGAACUCGGCCUACAGGCUGAGGGUUUGAAGCAUGACUGAUGGGAAAUUCUCGAUUAUCAGGGCAAAGGGUAAAUGCGGGCAAAUGCAGGUGGAAGAAAGUCACCCAUGAGGGACUUCUGGGUCUGGGGCAUUAUUAGCAGUAGCUGCUGCUUUUAUUCUUGCAGUGCUGGGAGGAGAGGCGCGGGAAGAUGCUGUCUCUGCUGACAUUUGGGUCAUCCGUGUGCCGAGAAGCCUGGGGAUGUGUGAGUUGGCAGACCGGGAGUCCUGAGACAGUGUGGUUGGAGCUGUCAUUAAUUGGCCAUGUGACCUCCCUUGGUCACUUUCUUCCUUUAAAGCCAGAGACUAGAAUCAGGGGUGGCUGGAGCCUUUUUAUUUUUAUGUUUUUGCAUUUGAAUGCUGCUAGGCUGGACCUCACCAUUUCCAGUUGUCUACACCUGACUUUUCACCUUUGCACUUGAGUUUGCCCUCCUGGCCCCUGAAGACAUUUGAUUCUGGACGAUUAGCCCUGAGCUAACAUCUGCCGCCAAUCCUCCUCUUUUUGCUGAGGACGACUGGCCCUGAGCUAACAUCCAUGCCCAUCUUCCUCUACUUUCUAUGCGGGACGCCUACCACAGCAUGGUGUGCCUAAGCGGUGCCAUGUCCGCACCUGGGAUCCAAACCUGCGAACCCCGGGCCGCCGAAGUGGAACGUGCGAACUUAACUGCUGCGCCACAGGGCCAGCCCCCUGCGUUUCUAACAAGUUCUCAGGUGAUGAGUAUGCUGCUGGGGGAGGAACCACCAGCACCUGGUUUGUAAAUCAUUUUAUUGGAACACAGCCAUGUCAGAGACUGAAUGACCUGCAAGCCUGAAAUCUUUGCUCUCUGGCCCUUUAUAGAGAAAGUGUGCUUCCCCAUAAUAUAUAUGUGAUCAGUGCUGAGCAUUUUCUAUUGAGUUCAUAUUUUAUUCUCAAGAGCUCUUUUAUAUGUUAAGACAUUGCUUAACAAAUUAGCCCACAAAAGUAUGGUAUGGGGGAAUAGAUGCCUAUUUUGAAGUGUUAGGGAGUAUAACUAACAUGACACUUCUUUUAAGUCUUUUGUUUUUUCUAAAAGUAAUCUGAAUUUUUUAUUCCAGAAGCAUCAGUGUUUGGUUUAAUAUGAAACAUUUUUCCUCCUUAAUCUUUGAAUAAAGCUGAUGCUACUA